rnacentral:rRNA from 1 species
CCUACGGGAGGCAGCAGUGGGGAAUAUUGGACAAUGGGCGAAAGCCUGAUCCAGCCAUGCCGCGUGUGUGAAGAAGGCCUUCGGGUUGUAAAGCACUUUCAGUGGGGAAGAAAGCCUUGGGGCUAAUACCCUCGAGGAAGGACAUCACCCACAGAAGAAGCACCGGCUAACUCCGUGCCAGCAGCCGCGGUAAUACGGAGGGUGCGAGCGUUAAUCGGAAUUACUGGGCGUAAAGCGCGCGUAGGCGGUCUGAUAAGCCGGUUGUGAAAGCCCCGGGCUCAACCUGGGAACGGCAUCCGGAACUGUCAGGCUAGAGUGCAGGAGAGGAAGGUAGAAUUCCCGGUGUAGCGGUGAAAUGCGUAGAGAUCGGGAGGAAUACCAGUGGCGAAGGCGGCCUUCUGGACUGACACUGACGCUGAGGUGCGAAAGCGUGGGUAGCAAACAGGGUUAGAUACCCUAGUAGUC